rnacentral:misc_RNA from 1 species
GAUGAAGAACGCAGCGAAAUGCGAUAAGUAAUGUGAAUUGCAGAAUUCAGUGAAUCAUCGAAUCUUUGAACGCACCUUGCGCCCUUUGGCCAUUCCGAAGGGCAUGCCUGUUUGAGUAUCAUGAACACCUCAACUCUUUAUGGUUUUCCAUGAUGAGCUUGGACUCUGGGGGUUUUGCUGGCUCACAGUCGGCUCCUCUAAAAUGAAUCAGCUUACCAGUGUGUGGUGGGUAUCAUGGGUGUGAUAACUAUCUACGCUUGUGGUUUUGCCACCAGGUAACCUUCAGCAGUGGAGGUUCGCUGGAGCUCAUAGAUGUCUCUCCUCAGUGAGGACAGCCCUUUGAAUGUUUGAUCUCAAAUCAGGUAGGACUACCCGCUGAACUUAAGCAUAUCAAUAAGCGGAGGA